AGGCUGCAACCCGCCUGCAUGAAGUCGGAAUUGCUGUAAUCGCGGAUCAGCAUGCCGCGGUGAAUACGUUCCCGGGCCUUGUACACACCGCCCGUCACACCAUGGGAGUUUGUAACGCCCAAAGUCGGUGGCCUAACCUUUAUGGAGGGAGCCGCCUAAGGCGGGACGAGAUGACUGGGGUGAAGUCGUAACAAGGUAAC
rnacentral:rRNA from 1 species